rnacentral:rRNA from 1 species
AUUGAACGCUGGCGGCAGGCCUAACACAUGCAAGUCGAGCGGAUGAAGGGAGCUUGCUCCUGGAUUCAGCGGCGGACGGGUGAGUAAUGCCUAGGAAUCUGCCUGGUAGGGGGGGAUAACGUCCGGAAACGGGCGCUAAUACCGCCUACGUCCUGAGGGAGAAAGUGGGGGAUCUUCGGACCUCACGCUAUCAGAUGAGCCUAGGUCGGAUUAGCUAGUUGGUGGGGUAGAGGCCUACCAAGGCGACGAUCCGUAACUGGUCUGAGAGGAUGAUCAGUCACACUGGAACUGAGACACGGUCCAGACUCCUACGGGAGGCCGCAGUGGGGAAUAUUGGACAAUGGGCGAAAGCCUGAUCCAGCCAUGCCGCGUGUGUGAAGAAGGUCUUCCGAUUGGAAAGCACUUUAAGUUGGGAGGAAGGGCAGUAAGUUAAUACCUUGCUGUUUUGACGUUACCAACAGAAUAAGCACCGGCUAACUUCGUG